UACGUAGGGACCGAGCGUUGUCCGGAAUCAUUGGGCGUAAAGAGCGUGUAGGCGGCCCCUUAAGUCCUGCGUGAAAUCCUGCGGCUCAACCGCAGACGGUCGUGGGAAACUGGAGGGCUAGAGUGCGGGAGAGGAGAGUGGAAUUCCCGGUGUAGCGGUGAAAUGCGCAGAUAUCGGGAAGAACACCCGUGGCGAAGGCGGCUCUCUGGACCAGCAUUGACACUCAAGCACGAAAGCGUGGGGAGCAAACAGG
rnacentral:rRNA from 1 species